CCGAAAAGGCCCCACAAGCUCAUCUUUGAUGAUACCAGCCCAAACCAGUACUCCACCUCCACCUUGCAGGCGUCUGAGUCGGACUGGAGCUCUCUGCCCUUUACCAAUCCAGCCACGGGCCCAUCCAUCUGGCCCAUCAAGACUCACUCUCAUUUCAUCAGUCCAUAAAACCUUAGAAAAAUCAGUCUUGAGAUAUUUCUUGGCCCAGUCUU
rnacentral:lncRNA from 1 species